rnacentral:rRNA from 1 species
CAUGUGGUUUAAUUCGAAGCAACGGAAAGAACCUUACCAAAUCUUGACAUCCUUUGACCGCUCUAGAGAUAGAGUCUUCCCCUUCGGGGGACAAAGUGACAGGUGGUGCAUGGUUGUCGUCAGCUCGUGUCGUGAGAUGUUGGGUUAAGUCCCGCAACGAGCGCAACCCUUAAGCUUAGUUGCCAUCAUUUAGUUGGGCACUCUAAGUUGACUGCCGGUGACAAACCGGAGGAAGGUGGGGAUGACGUCAAAUCAUCAUGCCCCUUAUGAUUUGGGCUACACACGUGCUACAAUGGACAAUACAAAGGGCAGCGAAACCGCGAGGCAAGCAAAUCCCAUAAAGUUGUUCUCAGUUCGGAUUGUAGUCUGCAACUCGACUACAUGAAGCUGGAAUCGCUAGUAAUCGUAGAUCAGCAUGCUACGGUGAAUACGUUCCCGGGUCUUGUACACACCGCCCGUCACACCACGAGAGUUUGUAACACCCGAAGCCGGUGGAGUAACCAUUUGGAGCUAGCCGUCGAAG